rnacentral:rRNA from 1 species
ACUCCUACGGGAGGCAGCAGUGGGGAAUAUUGCACAAUGGGCGCAAGCCUGAUGCAGCCAUGCCGCGUGUAUGAAGAAGGCCUUCGGGUUGUAAAGUACUUUCAGCAGUGAGGAAGGUGGNURCGUUAAUAGCGUACUCRUUUGACGUUAGCUGCAGAAGAAGCACCGGCUAACUCCGUGCCAGCAGCCGCGGUAAUAC